GACGAACGCUGGCGGCGUGCUUAACACAUGCAAGUCGAACGGAAAGGCCCUGCUUUUGUGGGGUGCUCGAGUGGCGAACGGGUGAGUAACACGUGGGUAACCUGCCCUUGACUUUGGGAUAACUUCAGGAAACUGGGGCUAAUACCGGAUAGGAGCUCCUGCUGCAUGGUGGGGGUUGGAAAGUUUCGGCGGUUGGGGAUGGACUCGCGGCUUAUCAGCUUGUUGGUGGGGUAGUGGCUUACCAAGGCUUUGACGGGUAGCCGGCCUGAGAGGGUGACCAGCCACAUUGGGACUGAGAUACGGCCCAGACUCCUACGGGAGGCAGCAGUGGGGAAUAUUGCACAAUGGGCGGAAGCCUGAUGCAGCAACGCCGCGUGCGGGAUGACGGCCUUCGGGUUGUAAACCGCUUUCGCCUGUGACGAAGCGUGAGUGACGGUAAUGGGUAAAGAAGCACCGGCUAACUACGUG
rnacentral:rRNA from 1 species